rnacentral:rRNA from 1 species
AUACGUAGGGGGCGAGCGUUGUCCGGAAUGAUUGGGCGUAAAGGGCGCGUAGGCGGCCUGUUAAGUCUGGAGUGAAAGUCCUGUUUUCAAGAUGGGAAUUGCUUUGGAUACUGAUGGGCUUGAGUGCAGGAGAGGUUAUCGGAAUUCCCGGUGUAGCGGUGAAAUGCGUAGAGAUCGGGAGGAACACCAGUGGCGAAGGCGGGUAACUGGACUGCAACUGACGCUGAGGCGCGAAAGUGUGGGGAGCAAACAGGAUUAGAUACCCUGGUAGUCCACACUGUAAACGAUGAAUGCUAGGUGUAAGAGGUAUCGACCCCUUUUGUGCCGGAGUUAACACGAUAAGCAUUCCGCCUGGGGAGUACGGCCGCAAGGUUGAAACUCAAAUGAAUUGACGGGG